rnacentral:rRNA from 1 species
GGUUGCGAUCAUACCAGCACUAAUGCACCGGAUCCCAUCAGAACUCCGCAGUUAAGCGUGCUUGGGCGAGAAUAGUACUAGGAUGGGUGACCCCCUGGGAAGUCCUCGUGUUGCAACCCC